rnacentral:rRNA from 1 species
CCUACGGGAGGCAGCAGUAGGGAAUCUUCCGCAAUGGACGAAAGUCUGACGGAGCAACGCCGCGUGAACGAUGAAGGCCUUCGGGUCGUAAAGUUCUGUUGUUAGGGAAGAACAAGUGUUAGUUGAAUAAGCUGGCACCUUGACGGUACCUAACCAGAAAGCCACGGCUAACUACGUGCCAGCAGCCGCGGUAAUACGUAGGUGGCAAGCGUUGUCCGGAAUUAUUGGGCGUAAAGCGCGCGCAGGCGGUUUCUUAAGUCUGAUGUGAAAGCCCCCGGCUCAACCGGGGAGGGUCAUUGGAAACUGGGAAACUUGAGUGCAGAAGAGGAAAGUGGAAUUCCAAGUGUAGCGGUGAAAUGCGUAGAGAUUUGGAGGAACACCAGUGGCGAAGGCGACUUUCUGGUCUGUAACUGACGCUGAGGCGCGAAAGCGUGGGGAGCAAACAGGAUUAGAUACCCUGGUAGUCCACGCUGUAAACGAUGAGUGCUAAGUGUUAGAGGGUUUUCCGCCCUUUAGUGCUGAAGUUAACGCAUUAAGCACUCCGCUGGGGANCGGUCGCAAGCUGAAACUUAANGAAUUGACCGGNNGNGAGNGCGAGCGACGACGAGGAGAG